UGAGGAAGAAGGCGAGUUACAUCACCCCGGUGCCCGGCGGUGUGGGGCCCAUGACCGUGGCCAUGCUGAUGAAAAACACCAUCAUCGCCGCCAAGAAACUGCUGAAACCCAAAGAGCUCGAGGCUCUGCCUGCCUAGGCAGGACUGGCACCUGGGCCUGGCUGGGCUCGCCUCAGGAGCUGGGCCCACCAAGAACUGGGCCUAGCCAGGGCCCACCGAGAGCUGGGCCUAGCCAGGCCUCCCUUGGAUUUGGGUCCCUCAGGAUCUGGGCCUGGCUGGGCCCCCCAGGAUCCAGGCUUAGCCAGGCCCCCCUUGGAUUUGGGGCCUCCCCUUGGAUCCAGGCCUGGCUGGGCCCCCCAAAAGCCGGGCCUAGCUGGGCUCCCCUUGGAUCUGGGCCCCCCCUCAGGAUCCAGGCCUGGCCAGGGCCUCUCUGCCCACGACAUUCCAGACUGACUCCCGAACAGGCCGAUAGAAAAUGCAAUAUUUCUUAUUUAUUGUCUCGUAUGUGGGGCUGCUCCCUCUCGGAGCUCACAGGUAUUUAUUGGAAUUUGGUGAGAGCUGGGAUUAUCCACACUCCUGCUUUGUUAGAGCUGGGAUUAUCCACAUUUCUGCUUUGUGUUAGAGCUGGGAUUAUCCACAUUUCUGUUUUGUGUUUGAGCUGGGAUUAUCCCCAUUUCUCCUGCUUUGAGCUGGGAUUAUCCCCAUUUCUCCUGAGCCAGCCCUGCUCCUGCAGGAUCCUCUUGGCAUCCCAGCAAUUCCAGCCUCCAUGGUUUUAUUCUCCAAACCCCAACAUUCCCAAUUUCCUGCUGGAUUUUUAAUUUAAGCUCUCCUGUAGAAGGAAUUACUUGAAAAAAAAACCCUGAAAAUUGAAGCCAUAUUUGUGUAACAUUUUUUAGAGUGCAGCUAGGCUGGGCUUUAUUUCACUCUUUGGAUGGUGAAUUUUUAAAAAUCCUUUUAUUUUCUAACCAAAGAACCACCUUGGGGGUCAGGGGGAGGUUUCCUGCACCGUGUUGUAAAGUGUGAGUGCUCGGUGAGUAGUGCAGGUUAAAUAAAGUGUGAGAAGAGAAAAAUAAAAAAUCCUUU
rnacentral:lncRNA from 1 species